GCUAGCACAGCACCAGGGCUUGGCGCAGCAAGGAGGGAGGGAGCAAGAACAAAGCUUGCUGGUUGAGAUGGGGCGGAGACCUAGGAACUACUCCCUCCGUUCCGAAUUACUUGUCUUAGAUUUGUCUAGAUACGGAUGUAUCUAGCACUAAAAUGAGUCUAGAUACAUCCGUAUCUAGACAAAUCCAAGACAAGUAAUUUAGAACGGAGGGAGUACUCGUCUGCAGCUCAACCGGAUCUUGCUUCUUCCUCUACAAUGGCUGCCGCCAAGAAGAUGCCCGUCCUGAACACCGCCUACAACGCCGGUAUAUGAUCCAAACGAUUGCCGGGGAGUGGAACCCGAACAUGAAGUCUGUUUUCGCGGGGGUAGGGAUGGAGCAGUUUUGCAAGCUCAAGGCUUUAGGCAAUAAUAAUCGCAUAUUUUCCAUGUCCCUGCUCGCUAGGAUAGAUCCCGAAACUAUGAAGAUGGACAUGGGGGACGGAAACUUUGUUGUGGUUGACUCCAGGGAGGUAGGAAAAUGCAUAGGAUUGAAUCCUAGCGGGGAAAAGAUCGAUAUCCGGGCUGGUUCUUGCUUGCCAGACCGGGAAGAGUUACUGGGGAAGUUGCAUGCCAUCUUAGAGACUGACAUGCCCAAAACAUGCAAGAUUCCGAUUGUGAGAGUUAAAAAGAUAGUGCAAAACGCUAGCAAAGUAGCAAUCGUGGGAGCGGAGAGAGAGAAAAUGAUGGCCGCGUGCACAAUCCUCGCAGCAUCCACAGUUCUUCUUCCUAGAGGAGCCCAUCCGAAGAUUUCGAAUGAGCUGUUGCCUGUUCUUGCUGAGCCGAACAAAAUAUCGGAAUAUGAUUUGUGUGACUAAGUAGUGGAGGGGUUGAGAGAGGCUGCAGCAAAACUGAGGGAUGAUUUGUUGCAUGACCCACCUCAGCUUUCUCUUCAGGGGUGCCUCAUUGUUCCUCAGAUCAUCUUCUGUGACUACCAUGAGCAUGGCAUGGAAGGGUGUGAGCAGCUACCACUUCCUCGGAUGGCGUCGUACUCCGAUCUGUCGAUGAAGCUUCAGAUCCGCAAGCACGCAGCGAAGAACGGAGUGGAUGCAGGCUUCGAGGUAUCUGAUAUCCCCAGAUCCCCGGCAACUAAUGUGCCGUCCGGGAGUGCACCGCCCGCGUAUUCUUGGACCGCCCCAAGCCCUGGUGUGUGCGCUGGCCCGCCUGGAUUUGCUGUGGCCCCUGGGACAGAGAUACUGAAGGAAAUAUGCCCUAGAGGCAAUAAUAAAGUUAUUAUUUAUUUUCUUAUAUCAUGAUAAAUGUUUAUUAUUCAUGCUAGAAUUGUAUUAACCGGAAACGUAAUACAUGU